AUUAGCCAUUCCGAAGUUGAUGAGUGGACUGGGGACGAGCGUUAAAAAGUGCCCAAAUUAAGAAAUGAACCAAAUCACUAAAAAGACCACCUCAAAAUUAGUAAGUAUACAAAGUUUGAAGACGCUUACAAGAAUAUCCUUCGAAUAAUAAGCUUUCGAAAAUGGUGAUAUUUACUAUGAAAUGUAUUGUAAUUUUUGUUUUUGGGACGCGCGUCCCAAAAACAAUCUUUUAAUCAGUAAUUUCACAAUUU